AUUGGUCAGGACUUACGUAGAUGGCCACCCCCUCCCCCAGCUGCAAGGGAGGCUGUGAAAUGAAGUCUCUAGUUGGAUAGCAGUAAGUCCUGCUGAGUUCAGCAGUUGCUGUUCCUAAAAGGAAGAAAUGGGUAGAAUGGAUAUUGGUGGACAUUUAGAGACAAGGAAACUGGACAACUCUAGACUGUUGCCAGGAGUCAGGAGUACUUUAAUCAGCAUUUAAUGACCCAGUCGAAAAUUCAUUGUUUGGACCCAAGCACUGGUGGGAAAGGCAGGAGGGGAGGCCUGCCUUCCUUCCUCCCUCCCGAGCCCUACAGCAGGCCAUGGAGUGGUGAGCGAGUUCGUACAGUGCCAACCACAUUCCCAGAAACUUCCAGCAGAGGUUAAUCCUGCUCCUCUCAGGUGGGCUUGGCCCAUUCUCUAGACUUUGGAAGGUAAUGUUCUAUAGAGGCCUGUUCUGAAGCUUUACCAGGUCAAACCGGAGAAGAACCCAACAAGUAACUCAUCCCAGCCUAACUAUUCUUCAAGGGCAAUCAACCUACAGCAUCCAAGCACAGAGAAAUCAAAUCCAUGGAGAAUCUUCAAAUUAGGCUCAGAAUCCAUUUGGGUCAAUGAAUUUACUGUUAUUAAGAUCUUAGUUGUGUUCAACCAUGAUUUGACAUACCUUAGAGUGAGAAGAUAUUCUUCCUGGCCUCAGACUAGUUGAAGGUAGAGAGAGAGACAGGCCCUUGGGUGUGGGGAGACCUCUCCUGGGAUAAUACACACAAAAAACCAAGAGCUGCUCACUGUGGUGCAGGAGACAGCAGGGCCUGAAGCCAGAGGCUCUGUGUCCUUGAAUACAAUGUUUUACUCCUCUGACCCCUGUUACUGUGAUUUGGAGAGGCAGACAAUAUAGGAUGGGCUUUGCAGGCAGGGAGGUCCAGUUAUAAUCCCAGCUCUUACUAAGUUGGGUAAGACUCACUCUGAGACUUAGUUUCUUCUGUCAUCUCUCAAUAGAAUCAUAAAGGUACUUUCCUCUUAGUGUUGUUUUAAAAUUCAGUAAAAUAAUGCAGGCUUAGCACAGGGUCUGAUGUAAAUUUUCAAUGAAUUAUCGUUGUCAAUAUUGUUCUGGAAAACAAGAGGGCAUAUUAGAAGAUCAAAAGUACUGCCAAGCAUUGAAGUGCCAAUUCUAGAUCCAGUCUCAGCCCUCUGAGAAUGGAUAUCAUUGUUUUCAAGCCAUUCAGAAACCAAUGUGAAUUGAACACCUAGUAUGAGCUCUCUGAGGGAAGAGCCAAGUCAUGCAUUUUUUAUCUUAAGGGGUCUUCAAUACCUCUAGCCCAAAACAGUAUCUCCAUCAGGAUUCUUCUCUGAUAGUGUUCAUUUCUUUUUUCUCAAUGGAUGCCUUAAAAAAAAAAUCCUACAAGGAAACCUGUACUCCUCAAAUACACCACUCAGGUGACCAUUAAAUCAUUUACAUUGUUAA
rnacentral:lncRNA from 1 species